UACGUAGGGACCAAGCGUUGUUCGGAUUUACUGGGCGUAAAGGGCGCGUAGGCGGCAAUUCAAGUCAUCUGUGAAAUCUCCGGGCUUAACUCGGAACGGUCAGAUGAUACUGCUUUGCUAGAGUGCGGAAGGGGCAAUCGGAAUUCUUGGUGUAGCGGUGAAAUGCGUAGAUAUCAAGAGGAACACCUGAGGUGAAGACGGGUUGCUGGGGCGACACUGACGCUGAGUGCGCGAAAGCCAGGGGAGCAAACGGG
rnacentral:rRNA from 1 species